UACGGAGGGUGCAAGCGUUAUCCGGAUUCACUGGGUUUAAAGGGUGCGUAGGUGGGCAAGUAAGUCAGUGGUGAAAUCUCCGGGCUUAACCCGGAAACUGCCAUUGAUACUAUUUGUCUUGAAUACUGUGGAGGUCAGCGGAAUAUGUCAUGUAGCGGUGAAAUGCUUAGAUAUGACAUAGAACACCAAUUGCGAAGGCAGCUCACUACACGGUCAUUGACACUGAGGCACGAAAGCGUGGGGAUCAAACAGG
rnacentral:rRNA from 1 species